CAAUAGCGUAUAUUAAAGUUGUUGCGGUAAAAAAGCUCGUAGUUGGAUUUCUACCGAAGAUAGCCGGUCGGGUCUUCGACCUUGUAUCUGGUUUUGUCUUUGGUAUCCUCAUAGGGAACGUUUCUGCGCUUUAUUGCGUGGUGCGGUAUCUAUGACUUUUACUUUGAGGAAAUUAGAGUGUUCACGGCAGGCAAACGCCUUGAAUAUAUUAGCAUGGAAUAAUAACGUAGGAUCUUCGUCCUAUUUUGUUGGUUUCUAGGGCUAAGAUAAUGAUUAAUAGGGAUAAUUGGGGGCAUCUGUAUCAACGCGUCAGAGGUGGAAUUCAUGGAUUGCGUUGCGACAAACUACUGCGAAAGCAUUUGCCAAGGAUGUUUUCAUUGA
rnacentral:rRNA from 1 species